rnacentral:lncRNA from 1 species
AUGAAUGUUGGAUGAUCCUUAGCCCUUGAUAGAGCACAGAUACAGAGUUAUGGCAUGAGAUAGCCAUACCAGGUCGCCCCUGGAUAGUCCAGGUCGCCCCUGGAUAGUCCAGGUCGCUCCUGGUACUAUGAGUGAGACAGCUGGGCUGUCAGAUCAAAGCUCAGAGCAGUCCAGGUGAGGCCUAAUCGCCCCUGGCACAGUUGGAC